UACAGAGGUCUCAAGCGUUGUUCGGAUUCAUUGGGCGUAAAGGGUGUGUAGGUGGCGCGCUAAGUCGGGUGUGAAAUUUCGGAGCUUAACUCCGAAACUGCAUUCGAUACUGCGGUGCUUGAGGACUGGAGAGGAGACUGGAAUUCAUGGUGUAGCAGUGAAAUGUGUAGAGAUCAUGAGGAAGACCAGUGGCGAAGGCGGGUCUCUGGACAGUUCCUGACACUGAGACACGAAGGCCAGGGGAGCAAACGGG
rnacentral:rRNA from 1 species